ensembl:snRNA U6 U6 spliceosomal RNA
GUGCUCACUUCAACAGCCCAUAUACUAAAAUCGGAAUGAUACAGAGAUUACAUGCACGGCCCCUGCACAAGGAUGACACACAAAUUCAUGAAGUACUCCAUAUUAAA